UACGAAGGGGGCUAGCGUUGUUCGGAAUCACUGGGCGUAAAGCGCACGUAGGCGGACUUUCAAGUCAGGGGUGAAAUCCCGGGGCUCAACCUCAGAAUUGCCUUUGAUACUGUAGGUCUCGAGUCCGGAAGAGGUGGGUGGAAUUCCUAGUGUAGAGGUGAAAUUCGUAGAUAUUAGGAAGAACACCGGUGGCGAAGGCGGCCCACUGGUCCGGUACUGACGCUGAGGUGCGAAAGCGUGGGGAGCAAACAGG
rnacentral:rRNA from 1 species